AUCAAUCUUAGACUGAAAUAUCACCGGAAAAAUCAACAACAACUACUACCACCACCGCCUGAUACUAACCGGAAAAAUCAACAACCACCACCACCAACCUUUCCUUACAACAACAAAAAAGCUUUUGACUUUUUGUAUACCAAGCUCAAAUCACAAAACCCACCAAAAGAAUAUAGAUAUUGAUAUAGAUCUAUAUCAACAAACACAUCUCCACCACAAGUCCACGCAACCACCUUAACACUCUAACACUCUAACCGGAGCUUGAUGGUGAUUUAAUGGCAGUUUCAUCUCAUUGAAUCUUUUUGCUUAUUGAUGGUGUUUGUUGAUGAAGAAGGCGAUGAUAAUGUAAUGUAUUUGAUUUUUGUAAGUGGGUUCCAAAAAAAUGUAAUGUGUUUAUAUGGAGAGCUGCUAUGGAUAGGAUCCCCACCUCGACUGCUCUUCAAGCUAGAAACUGUUGGUUUGAUAAUCCGGAAUGCGUAUUUUUUAAUUUUGGAUUUCACUAACAGGUAUGUAUUUGAUUUUUGUAAGUGGGUUCCAAAAAAAUGUAAUGUGUUUAUAUGGAGAGCUGCUAUGGAUAGGAUCCCCACCUCGACUGCUCUUCAAGCUAGAAACUGUUGGUUUGAUAAUCCGGAAUGCGUAUUUUGUGGGGAUGGAAUUGAGAAUGUCGAUCACCUUUUUUGUGAAUGUAUCACAGCAGCUAGAGUUUGGCAGCAUAUAAGCGAUUGGUGCAAGUCUCCUCCUUUUUUCGUGUUCAUUAUGAAGGACCUGCUGGAGUAUCAUGAAGUUAAAGGCAAAAGCAAGCUAGAAAAGACGGUUAUCAAGGGUAUUAUAAUGAUAAGUUGUUGAAGUAUUUGGAAGGCAAGAAACGAGAUCAAAUUCGCAAAGACCAAUUGUAAUGUGACGAGAAUUAUUCAAGACAUCAAGGCUUUCGGAUAUUUGUGGUAUAGGAAUCGUACAAAGAAUAAGAGUUUAACUUGGGAAGAUUGGUGUAAUUUUAAGUUUGUAUAAUUCUUGUAUAGUUACCGCCGGCGAUUUGCCGGGGUGUUUGUGAAUAAAAGUUUACUUUUCAAAAAAAAAAAAAAAGAAGGCGAUGAUAGAUACAUGUAUUUUAAAUUAGAGUUAAUUAAAAGAUUGAUCUCUGUGGUUUUUCCAUUUUA